rnacentral:rRNA from 1 species
ACGACGCUGGCGGCGUGCCUAAUACAUGCAAGUCGAACGGUCUUUCUAUGGAAGCUUGCUUCCACUGAGAAGAUAGUGGCGAACGGGUGAGUAACACGUGGGUAACCUGCCCAUAAGAGGGGGAUAACAUCCGGAAACGGGUGCUAAUACCGCAUAGUUUUCUUGAUCGCAUGAUUGAGAAAGGAAAGAUGGCCUUUGUGCUGUCGCUUAUGGAUGGACCCGCGGCGUAUUAGUUAGUUGGUGAGGUAACGGCUCACCAAGACGAUGAUACGUAGCCGACCUGAGAGGGUGAUCGGCCACAUUGGGACUGAGACACGGCCCAAACUCCUACGGGAGGCAGCAGUAGGGAAUCUUCCGCAAUGGACGAAAGUCUGACGGAGCAACGCCGCGUGAGUGAAGAAAGGUUUUCGGAUCGUAAAACUCUGUUGUCAGAGAAGAACAAGUUGGAGAGUAACUGCUCCAGCCUUGACGGUAUCUGACCAGAAAGCCACGGCUAACUACGUGCCAGCAGCCGC